UCGUGCUAGACGGGGAGUUAGCGGUGCCCUGUACCUGCAAUCCGCUACAGCAGGGUUGAAUUCCUCAUCGAGGCCUUAAUCUGUGAGGCCUGCCCCAUGUAAGUGGUGUUGAUGGCUGGGUCCCACGCAACGGCAGCCCGUGAACCUCGUCAGGUCCGGAAGGAAGCAGCGAUAAGCGGUUCCUGUCGUGUGCCGUGGAGCAGCCUGGCCUGAGCUAACUGCAUGGGUAACGCUCAUAGAUUAUUGUCGACAUGAGGUGCACGA
rnacentral:SRP_RNA from 1 species